ncrna:unclassified sequences DTF3800-XI RNA
UGGGCUGGUCGUAAGACCCGGCUCCACACAUAGGCGGGUAAGACACCC